GGGGAAAGCCGUUCCUCACACGGAGAGAAAGGUUCUGCUGAUGGAGCUGCAGCACUCGCCAUGGGAAGGUUAGAGACUGGAAGUGCCGGCUCCUGCCAGCACACAGCGAUUUGCAAGUGAAUGCGAGGGAGGGAGCAUCCGAGAGGAGGGCUGCGCAUGAAAGGCGUCCCCUCCCCCGCAGGGCAGAAAGACUCUCUGUUUCCAGCCUAAGAUUCACAGGAGGAACUCUUGGUUUAAUGGACUGCUGUCAUAUUUGGAAUUUCUUCAUGCUUCUCAACCAGAGAGGUGGAGUCCAUGAUCGCAGAACAAAGGAAACACUGAGAGGUUACAUCUUGAUUCACGAGGACGUGACAGAGAAAUGGUGCUGGAAAGGCUUAGGCAUUUGAGAACUCAAAGUUUUACCUCAGUGACCUAUCUUCACCAAGCAGACCACAAAAAGUUCAAGAACUUGAGCAUAGCAGUGAAGAGAACAUCAAGUGAAGUAUAUGGGUAUGAGGACUAGACAGAUGACUCCCUACCUCACCGUGCACAUCAAGCAAAUAGACUCCAACUUCACAGCUGCCUGAAGUAAUGAUAAACUACACACCAGUUAAGUCCACUGUUUUAAAUUUAUUCAUGUUAAUGUACUUUGGUCGUCUCAGAAAAGCCUCAAGGUUACAACUAUUAUUUUUAUAAUACAUACGAGAAAAUUGCAGUUUAGAGAGAUUGAGCCAUUAUUGAUACCCUAGAGCUAUAUAAGAGGUAGUAGGGAGAGAAGUGUGGAGAACCAAAGAAACCAAAUCAGGAAAUGCAGAAUCAUCUUAUAUAAUAUGGUGUCCCUGACAUUAUCUCUGAUUUUUGUGUCACCUAAAAGAGUAUGUGGAGGUUUCUAUCCUUUUGUCUCAACUAUAUUUGAAAACAAGCUAACUACAGGCAUGAUUAAUGAAGUUUGAGAAGAGGUCAUACUAAUGCAGGAUGUGCCCUUAAUCUAUGCCUUUAUUUGAAUAAGAAAGAAAAAUAAGAGAAAGUGUAAUGAGAACAAAUGAAGCGCACAGUAUUAAUGUGGUUGCCGGAAAACAAUCAAUACAGAUACGUGAAUAAUGCAUCCCCAAUCCUGUGAGAUGAAUGAAGUCUGGAGGCACCAAAGGCUAGAAGAAGAUGCCAUGCCCUGUGCUAGAGAGCCUUUCAGAAGAAAUUAACUGUAGCACCUCCUUCAUUUUGGAUCUCUACCCACUGACAUGAGAAAGCAUUGCUGCUGGAGCAGAUUUACGAGUCAUUCACCAUCCCAGGAAAGAACUUUGAGAUGUAGAUUGUCAGCACUGACCAUCAGCCUUUAGAAGCAUUUGGAAAUCGCUUCUUGGCCUUUUGGCUCUGAUCAAGUGUAGAAGCAUUUGGAAAAAUACAGUUGUUACUCAUGUUUUUCUACUGGUUCUGAUGUAGAAAAUCUUAAGGAACAAUGUAAGUUCAGAAAAGCACGCUCUUAUUAGUUAAGCUAGGGGACAUUUUAUGGUCAGGAAACAAGAACAAUGGCAGCACUGGCUGACAUGACUCUCACUGAGCCUGGACUGCUGCUGAUUGAUUUCAUACACUCAUAUUUUCUCCUCAGCUUCCAGAUAUGAUUGAUUAGGAAUUGCUGAUGAGUAGAUAUGCACUCUGAUAAUGAGAUAGAUAUGACUGAUUUUCAUAUAAAAGUGUAUAUUUGUGAUUCUUUUAAGAGUCCUAGAAGAUUACUUUUAAAGAUAAAUAAUAAAAUAAUUACUUCUUUCUUUGUAACUGCAGUUUGCUGCCUGCCAAUAAGAGAAACUGGCUGAGAAAACUACCCUACAUGCUUACAAUUUGUUAAUCUAUAACAAAUUGCUUAGAUACAGAUGUACGUGGGUUUUUGAGAAUAAUUUGUUUUAUCUGUGCUAUAUAAUGUUAUUUUUUGUAAAGGUAUUGGAGAACACAUUGCUUUUUCAUAACGAUUCACUAGUAAAAACGUAAUAUGUAUUCACAUUUUAAUUUUGUACUGUUUGAAAGAUUUUUCUGGGAUAUAUAAGCUAUGGAAUCAAAUAAAGUACGGGGGUUGGAACACUGUUACUUCCAUUCAUCAAAUAUGUUUAUGCAUAUGUAUAAGGUUUGUAUGAGUGGGAGUUAGCUUGUUCUUCCUUCCAUCUAUUAACUAUAUGUAUACAUGUGCACACCCACACUUCCACACAUACACACACACACACAUUUAGAACUUGUCUGGAUGUAUGUUGGAGCUUGCUACAUUUACCAAUUGUGUGUGUAAAUGUAUGUACAUAUGCAUGCAUAUAUAUGUGUGUAUAAAGUUAUUGAACUCUGCCUAUUGUUCAUCUACUCAGUGUUUUUGUGUGUGUGUGUGUGCGCGCGCAUGCAUGUGCAUAUUCCUGUGUGUGU